CAUUUUUUAGUAUGUUACAGAUUUUUUGUGGGAUCAGACGUGUUUCAUUUGGUGUUCUCUUGACAGUGAAAAAUAAAGCUAUGGAACAGUUAUCGAGAGCUGACUAUGCUCGGUUAAGUGCAACCGAAAGGAAUGCGUACUUGAGGAAAACACGACAGUGAUUCGAGUAGGGUUCCUGAUAGCUAGACAUCAAAAUCAACAAGGUAAUUCAGUGCGUGACCAACCAGAAAAUUUUCAAGACACAGAAGAAAUCGCUGAAGAGAAUUCAGCAGUAGAAGAAGAAGAAGUUAAGAGUUUGCGAGAGUUAGGAUGAUGACAAUGAAGUGAAACAGCUGAGCCUGAAGGAAGAGCUUAAGAACCAUGUGGGAGUUUUAUUGCCAAAGAUAAAACAGUGUGGAACAAAACUCCACUAACUCAGCAUCAGACCGCAGCUCAUAAUGUUGUACGCCAGCGGAGUAGGCCUCAUCGCAGUACGGAAACGUUGUCAAUUAGCGAGACUUUCAAAAAAAUAUUUACUUACGAAAUGGUUGAUAAAAUCGUCCGUCACACUAAUAAAAAAGCUGAAACAAUUUUCCAAGAGUACAAUCCGAACCAUACAAACUUACAGCAUCAAUGGAAACCCGUUACGAUACCCGAAAUUUAUUGGUUCUUCGGAAUCUUGAUUUGUGCUGGAGCAAAUAAUUCGAAUACAGAUCAUGACAUGUGGCAAUCCAAUUCUUGUCCGAACAGCUUUAUCGAUACCGUACUGGAUUUACUCAAUAUAUUCUAUCGAAACCAGCUAAGUAUGGUAUAAAUAUCUGGUGGAUUUGUGAUGCAGAAAAUGCAUAUCCUUUGCAAAGGAUUAUGUACCAUGGUAAAACAGAUAAUACUCGAGAAAAAAAUCAGGGUGAAAGAGUAGUGAAAGAAUUGGCGGCUCCGUACCGAGGUAGUGGUAGAAACAUCUGCAUGGAAUAUUACCAUUGUUGGCAUGCUAAAAAAUAAUGAAUCUUACAUCUCUAGUGUUAUGAUAGCGAAUAAGACACGGGAGCAGUAUUCCACAGUUUUUGGAUUUCAGGAAAAGGUUACCAUGUGUUCCUACGUUCAUAAAAAAAAAGAAAGCUGUCAUUCUGAUAUCUACAAUGCAUUCAGAUAUAUCAGUUGAUGAUGACGCUAAAUGAAAACCAGAAAUAAUAAAUUUUUUUGAUAAAUAUUAAGCUAAGUGAAGAACUUGCAUUACCGAUGAUUGAACAUCGCACGGCGAGUCCACGAGUAAUGACCUACUUCUCAACAAAAAUGCCAUUGAAAGUGUAUUAAACCAUAUCCUGACAGAAACAGUCGUGAUAAAUCCUGGUGCAGAGACUCCAAAAGAUAAAACCGGAAGGAAAAAAGUAACAGGAUCUUGUCAUGUCUGCAAUGCUUUGCCAAUAAGAAGACGGCGAAAGACACGUAAGGCCUGUGCCAAUUGUCACCAACCUGUGUGUGACGAGCACUCAUUUAAAGGGUGUACAAUAUAUUCAAUGUCAUUAAUUAUAAAAAAAAGGGUGAUAUUUCUUUAUUUUUUUUAAUAAAAUUUAGUUGCAUUCAUUAAUAGAAAUUAUAUACAAUUUUUUUCUUAUGCUUUCCACUGUGUACCCGGUUGCUAAUAGGGUGAUGGCUAGAGUUUAAGCUUAUUUAAAAAAAAAAUAAAAAAUAAAUCAA